UACAGAGGUCUCAAGCGUUGUUCGGAUUCAUUGGGCGUAAAGGGUGCGUAGGCUGGCGCGGUAAGUCGGGUGUGAAAUUCGAGGCUUAACUCCGAAACUGCAUUCGAUACUGCCGUGCUUGAGGACUGGAGAGGAGACUGGAAUUUACGGUGUAGCGGUGAAAUGCGCAGAUAUCAGGAAGAACACCCGUGGCGAAGGCGGCUCUCUGGGACGGUACUGACGCUGAGACGCGAAAGCGUGGGGAGCGAACAGG
rnacentral:rRNA from 1 species